UCAAAGAUGCAAAUCAAAGUAACAUCAUCACCAACCUUAUAGCAUUCUUGCUCGAUUCUAUCUCCACCUUUCACAAAACCAAAUUUUUUUUCAAUAUAUAAUCCACCACAACACAACAAUUAUCUCCCAUGACGUUAUGACCUUCUAAUGCAUCCUAUGUACCCAUUUUUCAAUUUUUUUUCACUUUUCUUUUUUUUUUUUUUUUUUUGUAGACUUGUAGGAUACUAGGAUUUUUUUCCAAUCAAAGACGAAGUUCAUAAACCAUGAACACACACCUCCACAAACCAACUAUCCCAUAACAACAAACUCCAAGCUCCCACCCACGGCUAAACCAAAUAAAAUGGAUAAUAAAAGCUCA
rnacentral:lncRNA from 1 species